GACAUAUUGUUAUUAGAUUAAGGGAAAAUUUUAAAACUUAUUUUAGCUGGGGUGGCUGGAGUGGGUAUGUCGAUAAUGUCGAUUUGGGGAGCAUCCAAAUCCCACAGCCAACCCCACAAGCCCAGCAGAGGGGAAGCUUACGCUGACUCCUUCCCCCUUUCCUCCAGCGCUUUAUCCUAGGAGGGCCUGUAGGUCCCUGGUUUCUUCCCUUUCGCCCCUCGUGAUAUGUUCCAGGAGAAGCCUACAAGCAGUCCGACUUCUCAUCCCCUGUUAUCUGCCAGGAGAUAAUAGCCACUGGCAUCUCUGUGUCUUCCCAGAGGCCUCUCACCUUCUCUGAACAUCAUUACACAGAUCCAUAGAGUUCAGAGCCAAAGAUUCUUUCUCCAAGAAGCCCGCCCAGAGAAACGCCCCCAUUCUUGCUCGCCACCGCUCCGCAACGUGAGUAGAGGCUUCCUCAUCCUCUGUACGGAAUGGACACUCCUCCGACAUGGCGUACCCCACGGGGAAGCGCAACUUGGGCGCGGCCACAUUCCCCGCCUGACAACGCUGCCGAGGGGCAUUGAAUGCCCCAAAACAUUGACUCCGUAACAUCGCCAUGUUGACUGUUGGUUGACUGUGGCUUCGAACGUGGUUUUGCGCCUGUGCAGAGCCACGCCCCUUCGUGUGAACCUCCCACCCAAACCCCGAGAAGGGGCGGUGCUAGGGGUGGUGACCGGAAGCGGCUGCAGUUUUCUGCCGAGGUUUAAUAGUUGUUGUGAAGAGGAUCCCGUUGCUCUUUGCCGGAGCGGUGUGAAGGUGUCAGUGUCCUUUGAGGACAUGACCGUGGACUUCAGAAGAGAGGAGUGGCAGCACCUGGACUCUGCUCAGAGGUUCCUGUACCAGGACAUGACGCUGAAAACUACAGCCACCUCCUCUCACUGGGUAUGCACAGCUACCCUGUGACUCUAUGAGUGUUGUAGCCACGCGUUCUGGGAAACAAACUCACUCAGAAGGACAACGCAGAUAGUGGAGUGCAGUUUAUUACACCGGCAGGCCCAAGGCAGAGUCUCCUCUUAGCCAAGGACACUGACCAGUUUUUCUGAAAACCUUAUAUACCCUAAGUGUACACGCCGAAACCCACCUCCCCAAAUUCCCUGAAACUAGUCUGAACAAAGGAAAGAUACACUCUAAGUUAACCCAUGAUUCAUAUGCCUUAAGCCUAGGUAGUUAACAGUGGACAAUUACCAAUAGGCCUGUGGUCAUACCCCAGUAAGCACAAUAGAAUUUAUGAUUCUAUUCGGUUACACAGAUAAUUAGGGUAUUCUUUCAGGAACAGAGAGUCUAGGUACGAGCCCUGGGGCUCUUUCAUCCAGAGGGCCUGGUUUUCCAGUUGGUAUGUCAUUUCCACAGAUACUGGGCUUAUAGCUCAAAGUCCACAGUCCGGCCCAAGAUGGAGUCCUGCUUUCAAGAUGGAGCCUGUUCUCUCUGUUUCCUCCUUCCUGAGGACUCUGUUAUGAGUAAAAUUGUGUCCAUCCAAGAAAAUAUGUUGAUGUCCUAACCCCUACUAUUUCUGAAUGUGACCUUAAUUAAAAAUAGGGCCUGAGACGGUAACAGGGAGGAAGGCCAGAAGUCCCAGAGCAGCAGGAGAAAAUAAACUGUAAAUGGCAGACUUGUUUUUUUGUUGU
ensembl:lncRNA